UCUUAGUCACUUCAUCCUGUCUAGGAGCCAUUGUUUUUAGUUUGUAAUCACAUUUAAACGCUCCCAUCUUGAUUUCUUUGAAGCCUUUGGUCUUAUCCGUCUAAAUAUAAUCAAAUUCAUUGAGUUUUACCAAAUGGAAAAAAGGAAUGGAAGCUUAGCGGAGGAAAUAAAAAAUCAAACCUAGCUUUUGCAAUUUUUGGUCUUUUUUUCCCUUUGAGCAAUCAAAUAUUGAGCUUUUGUCCCCUCGUAGGAUGGCACAAGAUCGUCACACCCCUUUUCCCUUUUUCAAUACCAAGCGUGACAUUUGAACCAGCCAUUUCUCUAACAAAGACACCAGAUAACAACCACUACCUAGCUGCACCCCCCCCUCUCUUUGCGGGACAACCCGACAACCAACACAAGUGCAACAUAGAAAAACACACUCAAAUUGACCCUCUUCUCUCAGUAACCAGUGUCGAAACGGGUAGCGAUAUUGCAUGGGACAUACAUCACAACACCCACCACUUGGCCCAUGCAGAAUAAUCUUGCUAGUUGUACAUUUUUGUGAUUUUAUUACAUGUAUUAAUUCGAACUAGUCAGGGUUGUGAGUUUUUCUUAUAAUUGUACAUGGGGUGUAAUAAAUUUUGCUUAUUGAAAAUCAUAUCUGAGUUUUAAAUGUAAAGCUAGUAUAUAUAAUGGUUUAUCAUUGUGGCG